rnacentral:rRNA from 1 species
UACGUAGGGUGCGAGCGUUGUCCGGAUUUACUGGGCGUAAAGAGCUCGUAGGUGGUUUGUCGCGUUGUUCGUGAAAACUCACAGCUUAACUGUGGGCGUGCGGGCGAUACGGGCAGACUAGAGUACUGCAGGGGAGACUGGGAAUUCCUGGUGUAGCGGUGGAAUGACGCAGAUAUCAGGAGGAACACCGGUGGCGAAGGCGGGUCUCUGGGCAGUAACUGA